GACGAACGCUGGCGGCGUGCUUAACACAUGCAAGUCGAACGGAAAGGCCCUGCUUUUGUGGGGUGCUCGAGUGGCGAACGGGUGAGUAACACGUGAGUAACCUGCCCUUGACUUUGGGAUAACUUCAGGAAACUGGGGCUAAUACCGGAUAGGAGCUCCUGCUGCAUGGUGGGGGUUGGAAAGUUUCGGCGGUUGGGGAUGGACUCGCGGCUUAUCAGCUUGUUGGUGGGGUAGUGGCUUACCAAGGCUUUGACGGGUAGCCGGCCUGAGCGGGUGACCGGCCACAUUGGGACUGAGAUACGGCACAGACUCCUACGGGAGGCAGCAGUGGGGAAUAUUGCACAAUGGGCGGAAGCCUGAUGCAGCAACGCCGCGUGCGGGAUGACGGCCUUCGGGUUGUAAACCGCUUUCGCCUGUGACGAAGCGUGAGUGACGGUAAUGGGUAAAGAAGCACCGGCUAACUACGUG
rnacentral:rRNA from 1 species